UUGGAGAAGUUGAUCCUGGCUCAGGAUGAACGCUGGCGGCGUGCCUAAUACAUGCAAGUCGAGCGAACAGACGAGGAGCUUGCUCCUYUGACGUUAGCGGCGGACGGGUGAGUAACACGUGGAUAACCUACCUAUAAGACUGGGAUAACUUCGGGAAACCGGAGCUAAUACCGGAUAACAUGUUGAACCGCAUGGUUCAACAGUGAAAGACGGUCUUGCUGUCACUUAUAGAUGGAUCCGCGCCGCAUUAGCUAGUUGGUAAGGUAACGGCUUACCAAGGCAACGAUGCGUAGCCGACCUGAGAGGGUGAUCGGCCACACUGGAACUGAGACACGGUCCAGACUCCUACGGGAGGCAGCAGUAGGGAAUCUUCCGCAAUGGGCGAAAGCCUGACGGAGCAACGCCGCGUGAGUGAAGAAGGUCUUCGGAUCGUAAAACUCUGUUAUUAGGGAAGAACAAAUGUGUAAGUAACUAUGCACGUCUUGACGGUACCUAAUCAGAAAGCCACGGCUAACUCAC
rnacentral:rRNA from 1 species